GAAAGUUUAUGAAGUUUGUCUGCAAUCUGGGUUUCCCUUGAUAUUGCAAGAAUAGAAUAGUUUUCUAUCUUGCAGCAGCCUUGGCAACGUAAACAACGGACGCAGUCGCUUGGUCGCCGCUCAAAAUCCUCUAACCAGCCGAAUAUGGAUGGCGUUUAAAGAAGAAUGGACUGUGAAUCUUAUGUUUUCAACGUAAUUUAUAGAUUUGAUUUGUAUCUAACGAUAUACGUUAUAAUCUUGCUCGUUUUGGCUGUUUCGUUGAGGCAGAUCUAGUCCUCUUCUUCAACAUCCGUCAACAUGAAAAAGUACAACAUUCACCUUGUCUCAAUUUCAAAAGAAAAUACAUUUCAACAUUCGGUUCCAAAAUUCAGGAGAAUUCAACAACAAAAUAUACGUAAAGAUUGGUCAUGGUGCAGCUGAAGCUGUGAAAAAACUAUUGAUCAAUAAAAAGUUAGGAUUGGGUCAACUAUCAGUUUUUAUUCAAUCUAAAUUUCAUAUGAUAAACGGUUUAGAUUACUACUUAUUAUAACAAAGACAAUGAAAUUUUAGAUUAACAAACUUGCUUCUAUUGAAUCUCAAUUUUACGACUGGUUACCAAAUUCAACAAUUUAUAAAUGUUUAUUCGUUCAACUUUACCUAGAGACUGAAGUGUAACUAAGCACUUAGCUAUAUUCUGAUCUACAUAAUUAUUGAACUUAUCAUCCUCCACCCUUCCCAGUUAACUUCUCAUCUUCAUUCCUUAUAACGUUUUGUUGAUUUGAUUAUAACACUUUUUGAUGUCGGUCUACAAUAUUCUCCAGGAGAUGUCUUUACCUUAUCGUUUCUUACUUUACAAUCGUCAACAAAGUAAACUUUAAUAAGACUUCCAACAAUCCAUUUUUUCGUAUGGUAUUAUUGUCUGCAAUAGUUACAAAUUACCCGAACCUUACGUCACGAUUUUCAACAUUCUUCUUUUUACGAGGUAACAAAAACGGAAAAACAUUUCGAUUCAAAUGUUUUCAAAAGGAACUGACAUUUUUUUGUACAAAUUCUACUCUUUGUCGUGGAACCUUUGUCUCAUGAUCUCCGAGGUCGUUAAGUUAGGAACCGUCAUCAGGAUUGUUUGUUUGUCUAGUAAUAGGGCAUUGAGAUACAAAAAUUUGCUACCUCUAAUAAAUUCGUAUUUAGUUCGAAAGGUGUAUGAACUUAAUACCCAAUCGGCAAUUUCAAAGCAAGCUUAAAACUCCUCACAAAAACUUCUGCCUACCCAUUAUGACGAGGAGGCCCCGGAUAAUAAAUUGCCAUUUAAUGCCUUGUCAGGCCACAAAUCUUUAAGCUGUUCCCUGUUGCAACCAUUAAUCAUGAUCCUCAGCUCGUUUACUUCUCCAAUUAAGUUUGUGCCUAAAAUUAUACGAAUUAUUUCAAUUGUGCACUCACAUCCUCACUAGGAAUGACAUAAAAAGAGAAAAGGAGGAUAGAAGUAUUAAAAACAUAUUUGUGUACUCACAGCUUUUAUACAUAUAAACUCUAUUAUAAAUUGUUUUAAUUGUUAUAACUCAUUUUGCCUAUUUAAUAUAUAUCAAUGCAACAAAACCAAAACGGACUGCAAUAUAUUGUGCUAAUAAGAAUUUUUUGUUGCACUUCCAGAAGACCACGAAAAUUUCAAAAUUUAUUUGCGAUUAGGGUAAAAUAUUAUUUGUUUUCUUUUAUUUUUCUUAUCAAUGAUAUACACCAAUCACCUCUUAUACUAACUCGAGUCUUUGAAAUUUAAUAUGAAACUUUAUUACAGGAAAUCAUACAUAUUAAGUGAUGCACUAACUUCCCACGAUUUAUGCAUUUACAAACGGAGGCAUGCAUGUUCAAAUAAAAUACCCCAAUUGUAACGAAAAUAGCCAUAAAUGUCCAUCACAUGAAUGUAAGGGAAAAAUGAGAAUUAGCGAGCAAAAAUUUCUUUUGUGAACCGUAAAAUAAACUACGAUACUCGAGCGACGGAAAACAUAGCCAUUGAUGCUGAAAAGAAAACUUUCGAAGUUUACAGAUUUUUAGCAGAACUCCACGUUUAAAAUCAAAAGGAAAAACAAGUGAAAUGUGUGCAUGGUUGUAGAAUAUCAAUGCAAGUUUUUAUGGGAUUUAUGCGAAUAGGGCAAAUCGAAAGCAUUUUCGUGCUUCUGGUUAUGACUUCUUUAGUGAUUGGAGUUCUCGAGCGUUAUAUGGCAGAAAAAUCGUAAAGUCAUUCAAACAUAUUUCAAAAGACGAAUAAUUCUUUGGCCAUAAGGUGAAGUUGUUAAGCGGCGAACGUCUCAUCAUGAGACUCCUAACACAAUCCGAAAUUGCUAUAUAUACAUAUAUAAAAGGGAAGCCAUUGCAACUUUUCAUAUUUGAACGUGUUUUGUUUAUUCAAUUGACAAUUUCAAAGACACAUGAAGAAGUAAAACAGAAAGAUUUUGCUUAUUAAAUAAGAGAUGAAAGAAGUAGUAUGCUCCUUUUCAAACACAUCUGCUGCACCAUAAUUUUAAAUUACUCAUAUCUCACUAGACAAGCUUAAUGUACAUUGACAGAUACUACAACGUCCCUCCUUUGUAAAAGUCAUUAUAACGCAUUUAAAUUACAGCAUUGAAGAUUUUCUUGUAAAUUGUAUCUUCUUUGGCGUUCAUAUAACUUAGGCAAUGCUUCAUCUAAUAGUUAUAUUACUAUAGAUUAUACUUUUGUAUUCAUAAUACGGUAAUGUUAUUGCAAUGGUACAAUGUCUUAAAGUACUCUUUCAUUUUUUAUCUUACUCUACUUUCAUCUUUCCACCAAACCAUAACUGUGUUGUUGCGUCCUGGGAGGAGCUACAACGAUGCAAAUGGUUUGCACAAUAGUAAAAUCCGAAAUCAUCCUCUCCGCUUUACCGCAAGGUUUAUCACCAUCAAAUCGUAUCUGGUCACAAUCAAAACGAUUAAAUGUGGAAUCAACAUGCAAAAUAAUUUCCCUUGCUUGCCAAAAAAUACGACAGUUGGUGCAAUUUUUCCUCUUAUAUCAACAUAGCUGACAGUCGCACAGUUCCUCCGAUAUGUUGCUCUUAGUAUUGGAACAUUUUCGUGUGUUGCUAUAAGUAAACCAUUUUUGAAAGAGAUAGUCUGUAAUCUUCCCAUGAUGGAUUCAUUUCAUUUCGUGGAUGAUUCUCAAAGCUGGGAAUUCAUAAACUUAUCGAAGUUUAAACAGAAAAUGCGACGGUUGAAGAUGAUUUUGCGCUUAAACAACAGCAUGUUGAUGAUACGAAGAGUAGUCUGAGUAGAGUUAAUCUUAUGGAUAAAAUUAUUGGAGAAGUUACCUGUCUUUACUCACAAAGGAAUCGAGGAUAAAUUGGUAAAAAAUUGCGUCACAAUGUGGAAAAACUACCCCAAACGGCGCAUAUAUGUACUUACAUGUCACAACAUAUUGAAAACGAGAACUGAGACUUGAUGACGAAGAACGAAGGCUUGAAAAUUCACGAAUAUUAUUUUCAAUAGCUGCUGACAUUAACAAUAUUUGGAUCAUAUGAUGCUACCUAACUAAUUUGGCUGCAACUUUUCGUGGUUGACAAAGUUGAAUAAACCUUUUUUAAAGGUGUUCCACAUUCUACCACAUUCUUGCUUUUCUUGAAGCACUACUCAUCAAACAUAACAAACCUUUUCUCAACACGGGACUUAAGGCUAGCAAAGAAUUACAACUCUUUUCUCAACUUA